rnacentral:rRNA from 1 species
GAUGAACGCUGACAGAAUGUUUAACACAUGCAAGUCAACUUGAACUUCGGUUUGGGUGGCGGACGGGUGAGUAACGCGUAAAGAACUUGCCUCACAGCUAGGGACAACAUUUGGAAACGAAUGCUAAUACCUGAUAUUAUGAUUUUAGGGCAUCCUAGAAUUAUGAAAGCUAUAUGCGCUGUGAGAGAGCUUUGCGUCCCAUUAGCUAGUUGGAGAGGUAACGGCUCACCAAGGCGAUGAUGGGUAGCCGGCCUGAGAGGGUGAACGGCCACAAGGGGACUGAGACACGGCCCUUACUCCUACGGGAGGCAGCAGUGGGGAAUAUUGGACAAUGGACCAAGAGUCUGAUCCAGCAAUUCUGUGUGCACGAUGAAGUUUUUCGGAAUGUAAAGUGCUUUCAGUUGGGAAGAAAAAAAUGACGGUACCAACAGAAGAAGUGACGGCUAAAUACGU